CAGGAUGAACGCUGGCGGCGUGCUUAACACAUGCAAGUCGAACGAAGCACUUUAUUUGAUUUCCUUCGGGAUUGAUUAUUUGGUGACUGAGUGGCGGACGGGUGAGUAACGCGUGGGUAACCUGCCUUGUACAGGGGGAUAACAGUUGGAAACGGCUGCUAAUACCGCAUAAGCGCACAGCAUCGCAUGAUGCAGUGUGAAAAACUCCGGUGGUAUAAGAUGGACCCGCGUUGGAUUAGCUAGUUGGUGAGGUAACGGCCCACCAAGGCGACGAUCCAUAGCCGACCUGAGAGGGUGACCGGCCACAUUGGGACUGAGACACGGCCCAAACUCCUACGGGAGGCAGCAGUGGGGAAUAUUGCACAAUGGGCGAAAGCCUGAUGCAGUGACGCCGCGUGAGCGAAGAAGUAUUUCGGUAUGUAAAGCUCUAUCAGCAGGGAAGAUAAUGACGGUACCUGACUAAGAAGCACCGGCUAAAUACGUGCCAGCAGCCGCGGUAAUACGUAUGGUGCAAGCGUUAUCCGGAUUUACUGGGUGUAAAGGGAGCGCAGGCGGUGCGGCAAGUCUGAUGUGAAAGCCCGGGGCUCAACCCCGGUACUGCAUUGGAAACUGUCGUACUAGAGUGUCGGAGGGGUAAGCGGAAUUCCUAGUGUAGCGGUGAAAUGCGUAGAUAUUAGGAGGAACACCAGUGGCGAAGGCGGCUUACUGGACGAUAACUGACGCUGAGGCUCGAAAGCGUGGGGAGCAAACAGG
rnacentral:rRNA from 1 species